CGCUUAUUAGUUUAAUGGUUAUAACGCACACCUUUCACAUGUGAGAAUCUGGGUUCGAUCCCCAGGUAAGCAA